rnacentral:rRNA from 1 species
CUCCGCAAAGGGUGUUCUACUCUGUCACUCUACGUCAGGCGGUGUACCCCGGUAGCGGCAGCGAUCGCCGUUCAUCCCCAGGUAGCGCCUAUCGUGCCGGGCGCAGGCCGUACAGGUUCGGGGCGGGAUUCGAUACCGUCGACGACGGUACGGAUAGGAGGGGAGUUAAGCUCGAGCCUUUGCUGAGUGUGUUCUACUCUAACGCCACACGGCAAGCCCCGGCAGCGGCAGCGGCCUCCGUUCCGCUCUCGAUAACUCCCAUCGUGGCGAACGCAGGCCGCGUGGACAUGGACUCGGGUCUGACACCGUCGACGAGGUACGGCGUCAAGGGGCGAUUUGUUGUAGCACACGCCCCCGCCAGACGACCAUGUAGCUCUAUGUCCCCCUCGAGCACGUCUGAGUGAACUUCAAACCUCGAGCUACGUUCGAGUGUCGGUCUCUAAGUUCCGCGUUGUUGCAUCGAUACCUACUACUUCACGGUGCUCGACGAAGGUACGAGUUCUUGUGUCACCUACGUACGACUAGGUGCCUCUCUCGUUAAAACAUCGUUAGGACCAGAUAACACACUAGAUCCCCCGUUGUAACUGUUACAUCAUCUACCCGUCCUCUUUCCUACAUCGGGCCUUCUAUAAAACCGUCAUUAGACAACAAUGUGUCCUCUUUUUUUCACAAAACGACUAAUAGAGCUUAUUUAAUCUCUAGAUGCGACUAAUACGUACGAGUUCUUAGGAAAUUGUGCACGUACACCAAGGAGA